UACGAAGGGGGCUAGCGUUGCUCGGAAUCACUGGGCGUAAAGGGCGCGUAGGCGGACAUUUAAGUCAGGGGUGAAAGCCCAGAGCUCAACUCUGGAAUUGCCUUUGAUACUGGGUGUCUCGAGUCUGGUAGAGGUUGGUGGAACUGCGAGUGUAGAGGUGAAAUUCGUAGAUAUUCGCAAGAACACCGGUGGCGAAGGCGGCCAACUGGACCAGCACUGACGCUGAGGCG
rnacentral:rRNA from 1 species